AACGCUAGCUACAGGCUUAACACAUGCAAGUCGAGGGGCAGCAUGGACCCAGCUUUGCUGGGUUUGAUGGCGACCGGCGCACGGGUGAGUAACGCGUAUCCAACCUGCCCUUUACUCCGGGAUAGUCUCCUGAAAGGGAGUUUAAUACCGGAUGUGUUUGUCUUUCCGCAUGGGAGCGACAAAUAAAGAUUAAUUGGUAAAGGAUGGGGAUGCGUCCCAUUAGCUUGUUGGCGGGGUAACGGCCCACCAAGGCGACGAUGGGUAGGGGUUCUGAGAGGAAGGUCCCCCACAUUGGAACUGAGACACGGUCCAAACUCCUACGGGAGGCAGCAGUGAGGAAUAUUGGUCAAUGGGCGGGAGCCUGAACCAGCCAAGUAGCGUGAAGGACGACGGCCCUACGGGUUGUAAACUUCUUUUAUAAGGGAAUAAAGUUCGCCACGUGUGGUGUUUUGUAUGUACCUUAUGAAUAAGCAUCGGCUAAUUCCGUGCCAGCAGCCGCGGUAAUACGGAAGAUGCGAGCGUUAUCCGGAUUUAUUGGGUUUAAAGGGAGCGUAGGCGGGCUUUUAAGUCAGCGGUCAAAUGUCGUGGCUCAACCAUGUCAAGCCGUUGAAACUGUAAGCCUUGAGUCUGCACAGGGCACAUGGAAUUCGUGGUGUAGCGGUGAAAUGCUUAGAUAUCACGAAGAACUCCGAUUG
rnacentral:rRNA from 1 species